AGAGAUUGUAAUAACGUAUCAAUUACUAAUCUUAUAUUCACCAACAAAUGGAGACAAUAUAAAUUGAAUCAAAGAGAAGUGUGACAAGUAGUAAGAAAAUGAAACACUGCCAAAAAGAAGAAGAAAAUAAAAACACUGCAUUGUGAUAAUAAAUGCCAACAAAGCAUUUUCCAGUGAAAAUAAUCCAGACAAUUGGGUUAUCUGGCAUAGACAAAGUAAGGACAACGACUGUGAGCACAGCAGUAAAGCCAAAUGAACCCCAAUUUGAGGUGACAAACUACCCAUGCUCAGAAGUAGACUGGAUGCACAGAAAACAACAAUACAUACCAUUACAACAGCGAAUGCAAGCA